rnacentral:lncRNA from 1 species
CUGGUCACGUGGACAAUUAGUUGUCAUUCGUCUUGAGCAAAGAUGGCUGCGAAUGUACAGUCUUUGGCACAGCAUUGGAAAAACUUCGACCUCCCCAGCCUUCAGGUAUGGUUUAGAAAACGGCUUGGCGGUCGGAUGGGCAUACAAGGUCCAUCCGGUUGGACGGAGAUUCGUAAUAGGCCGAUGCACUGGACGUAAUUAAAAUUAUAACGGUAUGUUAUAUUGAUACCGAUAGGUUAUCAGCGGUGAUCGAUGCCUGAUUCGGAGUAAGGGUAGCUGCGUCUUUGUUGUCCAUUUGAUUGCUGGUGACAGCGGGUGCUGGUAGAGAUGGUGCGUACCAAUUGGCAUCUGAGCCGUCAGUUCGAUUUAUAUCUCAUCUGGUGUCGAUCCUGGUCGGAUAACGAGGAGCAACUUUUUGCUGGUUCGCAUGUUUCGGAGUUUGAAACUCGCGCAGUCUGUCGGUCCCGUUAGCUGGCUGCGCGCUGCGGCCGUGCCCAUUGCGGUGGACGGCGGCUGCUUGUAUGGUUGUGGUGCGGACUACGAAGGUUGGGUUCAGGUAAAGUUUUCUUCCCAGGACCAGAAAACAAAUAGCCUUUAGUUUAUUAAGUGUUUGAACAGCCGGGAGCACCCUUAAUGGUCUACGGCAUGAAUAUUCAGAAUUUUAAACAGAGUUUAAUGACUUGAAAAGUUCUUCCGUCAAUGUUGACGUACGGUAAUGUGUUGAGAAUAUACUGUAAAUGCGAGAGGGUAUUGAUGGUGUUGGUCAAUUUUGAAAUGGCAUUGCGUUGUAACGUUCACACGCUCGGCAGUUUUCUGUCAAUAGCUUUCUGUUUUCGUAGGGAUCAUCUACGCGUUUCGGUUUCGUUAAGAGAAUGGUCCGAACCGGUUGACAGUCGGAAAGGGCGUGUUGGAUGCUGUGGAAACUAACUGGGAGCGCUCAAACUGUACCAAAUUAGACGGGAUUAUCCGAAUAUAUUUCUAUUUCUACACUUUUGUAUGUGCGGGUUGUCGUGGUGCAAACACAUACGCUCGACUCUGUCCCACUGUCAGCUUAUAACGUAAGUGUCGGCAUCCAAAUGUCUUCGGUCGGUUCUCUUUUCCUAACUCCAUUUGGCUACCCCUUCCCCCCGUCCAUGCAAAUCGGAAAUAUAGAGGACGGGUUGUACAGCAGAUGCCGGCAUGGUUGUGCGCAGAGGUAUUGAUUUGUGAAGCUUUGUGUUUCUUUGAGCAUGGUAUGCAUAUUAAAAAGUAUUGAUUUUUCCGAUGUUAGUAAUUUUGGUGUAUUUGCACAAGGGCAUUACCGCCGGACUUGGGUUGUGUGAAUGCUCCGGUGUCUCAGCAGCCGUCGGACAUAAAUAUUUGUUAUAGGGAGGAUGCUUUUCUGUGUUUAUGUACUAACAAUAAGGCACGACAAGUCAACUUACAUUUCCCUCCCGUAAGAUGACGGAGACAAUGUCAUUACAGCAAUGGCUGUAUUGUGUGGUUUAUCAUUCGUCGGGACUCUUGCAUAGUUCUAAUCUUGAUCAAUACGUCAUGUACAGGGGACGAGUCAUUAUAAUGUAUUCAAAUGACUCGCUCCGUCUCUUUCUCACUCCCCCCUCGUAUUCCACAGUGUAUUGAUCAAAAUAUUAAAUUUUGCCAUCGGCAGGCCAGAAGGCAAAAGAGUCGGCAAUGAACUCGUCGAAUAUCCUUUGAUAGGACCGCCCAGUGACAGAGAUGGGGUGAACAGUGAGGAAAUUCGAUGAAAGAAUAAAAAAAAAUGGAAUCUUUCUCCAGCGUGUCUAGAUGGAAAGGUUUCUUACUUCUACUCUUUGAUCGAGGGUUGUCAACGAUUUCAGAUCAGAUAGUGAGGUGUCAAUGCCAAUUUGUCAAUGUUUUUUGUCUUCACAUUCUACCAAUCCUUUUCUUUUUUAUUUUUUACUUACCAUCGAAAACGUUGUCGUUCUACGCUCUAUCCACAAAACUAGCGUAGCCCAAUUCGAAUACAUAGUAUCCUAUUUUAAUUACUAUGGGUAAUUAACUUAUCUCAUUAAUUAAAUAAUGGCUUCGAAUUUAUCGAUCUAGUUCUACUUUACAAAUUCUAAAUUCAUCGCCGGCAAACAUUCGAUGCGAAAAAUUAUGACGAGAACGUGUUCGAAUCUUACUUUUACACUGACCCCUGGAGAUGACACUUCACCUCUGAGAUUCGAAGAGGAUGCUGUAGGAAUCUUAAAUUGGAAAAGGAAAUCGUUAAAUAUAAUCCAACACAAAAAUUCCUACAACACAAAACACAUACCUAUGAGUUAAAUCGUUUUCUUUUUCCAAUUAUUUGCCUUCAAAUUUAGGUUAAUAACUUAUAAAUCGAUUAUAAAAUAUGCAAAAUAUAUAAGUUAUUCCUAAAGAAUUAAAUUGCAUUUUUUAUUUAUAUAUCAAAC